UACGUAGGGAGCAAGCGUUGUCCGGAAUCAUUGGGCGUAAAGCGCGUGUAGGCGGUCUGGAAAGUCUGGUGUGAAAACUUGAGGCUCAACCUCAAGCUGUCGCUGGAUACUGUCAGACUUGAGUCCGGAAGAGGAGUGUGGAAUUCCUGGUGUAGCGGUGGAAUGCGCAGAUAUCAGGAGGAACACCUAUGGCGAAGGCAGCACUCUGGUACGUGACUGACGCUGAGACGCGAAAGCGUGGGGAGCAAACAGGAUUAGAAACCCGAGUAGUCC
rnacentral:rRNA from 1 species